AGAGUUUGAUCAUGGCUCAGGACGAACGCUGGCGGCGUGCUUAAUACAUGCAAGUCGAACGAGGUUCAACCGGUGGCAACACCGGUGAAGACCUAGUGGCGAACGGGUGAGUAGCACGUGAGCAACCUGCCCCGAAGACUGGGAUAACACCGGGAAACCGGUGCUAAUACCGGAUACCCCCAUCGGAUCGCAUGAUCCAAUGAGGAAAGGAUUCUGCUUCGGGAGGGGCUCGCGGCCUAUCAGCUUGAUGGUGAGGUAACGGCUCACCAUGGCGACGACGGGUAGCUGGUCUGAGAGGACGAUCAGCCACACUGGGACUGAGACACGGCCCAGACUCCUACGGGAGGCAGCAGUAGGGAAUCUUGCGCAAUGGGCGAAAGCCUGACGCAGCAACGCCGCGUGAGGGACGAAGGCUUUCUGAGUUGUAAACCUCUUUCAGCAGGGACGAUUGUGACGGUACCUGCAGAAGAAGCACCGGCCAACUACGUGCCAGCAGCCGCGGUGAUACGUAGGGUGCGAGCGUUGUCCGGAUUUAUUGGGCGUAAAGAGCUCGUAGGCGGUUCGAUAAGUCGGGUGUGAAAUCUCCAGGCUCAACCUGGAGUCGCCACUCGAUACUGUCGUGACUCGAGUCCGGUAGGGGACCAUGGAAUUCCUGGUGUAGCGGUGAAAUGCGCAGAUAUCAGGAGGAACACCAGUAGCGAAGGCGGUGGUCUGGGCCGGAACUGACGCUGAGGAGCGAAAGCGUGGGGAGCGAACAGGAUUAGAUACCCCGGUAGUCC
rnacentral:rRNA from 1 species